rnacentral:snRNA from 1 species
GGGCGAUCUGGCUGCGACAUCUGUCACCCCAUUGAUCGCCAGGGUUGAUUCGGCCCGCGCCUGGGCGGGAUGGACCCGGCGAUCCCCCGACCCC